UACGUAGGGGGCAAGCGUUGUCCGGAUUUAUUGGGCGUAAAGAGCGUGUAGGCGGCCACACAGGUCUGCUGUGAAAACUCGAGGCUCAACCUCGAGCUGUCGGUGGAAACCGUGUGGCUAGAGUCCGGAAGAGGAGAGUGGAAUUCCCGGUGUAGCGGUGAAAUGCGCAGAUAUCGGGAAGAACACCCGUGGCGAAGGCGGCUCUCUGGGACGGUACUGACGCGUGAGAC
rnacentral:rRNA from 1 species